GUUAGAGUACGCCCAGCUCCAUAACAAUUUAAUUGAAAUGAAUGCCUCUUAUGAUGACUUAACUGUUCCUUUAAAGUUUUGUAAACACCCUAAAAAUGUCAGCCUAUCAUUUUAGAAACCUGCCUUUUUUCUGCUUACUGGAUCACCUUGCAUGUCACCUCCACGAAAGAGCGCAAACAGCAGCAUUACAUUAGGAUACUGACUGCUCAUUAAUUAUCUGAUCUUAACACGUAUUAUUGUUUCUUUUAUUAAUUUAUCCCUGCGUUAUCUAGAAUUCAUCAUAUGCAUCUCACCAUCAAGUUUUAAAUGGAAAAUCUAGGCACAAGACUCACUACAGCGUAAUGUAGUGGUUCUAAAGCAUAGGAUUGUUCUUGCAGGCUCAACACCAUCACAAAGAUUGCAGGACUGACAUUCAGAGUCUCCACGCCCUGCAUGUAGACAC